CACGUGGUGGUUGACGCACAGUGGCUUAGUGCUCACGUUGAGGUUGUACUGUUUUGGAUUCAGUCUUUGUUUCAAAACACGUUUCAUAACACGUGUUACCCAAGAUCUGUUGGUGCUUGAAUUGAGACUGUAUCGUGUCGUAUUGUUACAGCGACUGAUUUUGAAUAAAAAAAAAGUGCAGCAAGUUCUUAAAUGAAAUCUGCAAAGAAUCCCAUAUAAUGAGCAUCAACUCAAAAAAAUCAUGUCAGCAUAGACCCGAUGAUUGGUGAAUAGCUU